ensembl:lncRNA
AACUGAGUCAAAUUUAUAAAAAAUAAGAGCCUUUCCCUAAUUGAUAAAUGGUUAAAAGAUAUGAAUAGGCAAUUUUUAGAAGAAGAAAUCAACAACUGUCAUGAAAAAAUUUUCUAAUUCAUUAAUAAUUAAAUAAGUGCAAAUCAAAACAACUCUGAGUUAUCACUUUAUGCCCAUCAUUAUGAGUAAUGUGUCAGAAAAGGAAAAAAAUACAGUGUAGGGGAGUUACAAACUGGUCCAAUCAUUGUGGAGAACAACUUGGACUGUGUUGAAAGGGCUGUAAAACUGUGAAAACCAUUUGAUCCAAUCAUGCCAAUACUAAGUCUGUAUUCCUAAGUGAUUAAAGAAAUAAGAAAAAUACCUAUUAGUACAACAAUAUUUAUAGCAGCUUUUUUUUUUUUCUUUGUAGUGGAGAAAAAUUACAAAUUGAAGUGAUGCUCAUCAACUGGAGAAGAUCUGAACAACUUGUGGAAUAUGAUGGUGACAAGAAUACAAUACAGACAUGAUUAAACCAGAUUGUUAGUAAAUGUACCAACAUCAAGAUUUGGGUGUUGUUGAAGAAUGGACUUUGGGUGAGGACCCAGCAAACUCCUUGCCACUGGAACAUGCUCUUCCAGCUGAAUGAUUCUGUGUAUCUCUGAUCCCCAGAAGACCACUGCCUUAGGAAUUAUAUACUCCAGGUCUGAAGAGAGUAGGCUUCUAGUAGUACCAGCCUUCUACCAGCUCCUGCCCUUCUCCAUGGCAGUUCUUCUACUCAUUCUUCCUCCAUAAAAGAUAGCUAUUCCACCCUAUUGCUUCCUGGUUGGUUCCACUACCAUUUCAGCUCAUUCCAUUAAAUUUACCUUGACCUCAAGUCUUCCUUACAUACAAUGUCCCUUCAAAACACCCAGGCAAUGAUGUCAUUCCCAUGGGCUUUGAUCUACAUUCAAGUGACUACAACAGUUCUUCCUCUAGAGGUGUAUAGCAUUGCCCAUUGUAAGUCCUUCAGAAUUGUCCCAGAUCAUUGAAUUAUUGAGAGUAGCCAAGUUUUCACAACUGAUCAUUGUAUAAUGUUGCUGUUACUAUGUACUAUGUUCUUCCAGUUCUUAUUUCACUCUGCAUCUGCUCAUGGAGAUCUUUCUAGCUUUUUUCUGAGAUUUUGUUUAUCAUUUCUUCUAGCACAAUAGUAUUUUAUAACUAACAUACACAAUAAUUUGUCCAAUUAUUCCACAAUUGAUGGUCAUACCCUCAAUUUCUAAUUAUUUGCCACCACAAAAAGAACUGCUAUAAAUAUUUUUAUACAGGUAGAUCCUUUCCCCUCUAAAAAUAUCUUUUUGUGAUACAGACCCAGAAGUUGUAUUGAAGGAUCAAAGAGAAGGUUCAACUUUACAGACCUUUAGGCAGAGUUCCAAAUUGCCCUCCAGAAUAGUUGGAUCAGUUCACACUAUUUGAUUGAUUUUUAAUCACUAUUUGUUGAGUGAAAUUCAAGUGACUGGUUCUGUUAGACCUUCCAAUUCUGUAAUUCUAUAAGUCUGUGGAGAGGCAAGAAGACAAGAAGACUUGGUUCAUGUUAUAUCUUUGACACACACUGGCAAGUCGUUAGUUGCAUUACCUCUCAGAGAUCCCAACAAUUCUUUAAAAUUAUACAUUUCAGAAAAGGGACUGACCUGCAAUGAUAGUAAAACUUUCCUUUCUUGGACAUUUUUUAGACUAAUAUAACCACAGUUCCAGUUCCUUUCUUUAUAUUUCUGUGAUUUGUCCUUUCACCUUAUCCAUUAAAAAGCUCAUCUUCAAUUAAAAAGAAAUAGAAACUGUACCCUUGGACUGAGUACUGUACAUUAAAUCAACUCAUUAAAAAAGGGGGGGGGGAAGCCAUGUUUCCUCUAUGCCAGACCGUUUCAAAGAAUGAUGUGAGGCUAUCUAAUUUAUGAAACUAUCUCCAGGAUGCUUAAAAUAUAGUCAGUUCAAAGGAGAGGGAUGAAUGGAAGAUUGUUUUUUUAAUAAGUUUCAUGUCUUAAUUUUUUACCAUUAUGCUUGUAAGACAUACUCACUAUGGUAAAAACUGCUAGCAGCUUUCUCCAGCUAUAGUCCAGUUUGGGAAACUCAAGAAAUAUGAACUGGUUUUAGGAACUGUGGAGUUCCUAGGGUAUUUCAUCUUAUCUAGGAGAGUAUAAAUGGACCCUUGACUUGAAAAUAUCUGAGUGGUAUCUAAUGUUAAAAGUGUAGAAUCCUGCAAUGCAGCUACUGUGAAGAUUGGAUUUGGCUAUCUCCUGAUUGUAGCAAUGAAGGUAUUUAGCUCUUCCUUGAUAGUGAAGAUAAAAUUGUAAUUCCAGAUCUAUUUUUAGAUUUUAAUCCCCAAAGUGUUAACUCAGUAUUUAAAGUUUAUCUACCCAUUUUAACUACAAAAGGUGUGAACACCCAUUUCAUACAUUGAGUGGCAGCCCUGGAGAGGAGCAUCUGCUGUGAUUUGUAGACAUAAAAUUUAGGGGAGGUGACACAAGAGAAAAUGAUCUUUAAAUAGAGGAAACAGAGGCACACAAACAAUCAAUCAAGGAUUCAGUCACUUGGAGAAGAGACUGGAAGAUCAAUCACUAGGAGUUGGACUGGAAGACAGAUACUUGAGGAGAGACUGGAAGACAGACACUCAGACUUGGAGUGAAGACACUUGAUUGUGGAACUGGACCCCUGGAGGAGCUCAUGCAGGAGACCUCAGACUGCUUUUCUUUUAGACAGUCACCUUGGUGAAUGAAAUCCUGGCUUAGUUUCCUUGCCUUUCUGGAGGUGUGAACCUCUAAGAAAGGCCCAUCAUCUUGAGACUCCUUUCCCCUGGCUGGGUCUUAGAAUUUCUACCUGGCUCCAAGGAAGCCAGAACUUUCUCUCUCUCCCCUUUUCUCUCUUCCUUAAUAUCUUCCCUCUAUUGUAAAUAAACUAUCA